AAUGCACCACUUAUGUUUGACCACUAGAUGGUACUGCUCAAAGCAGCCAGUAUAAUGGCUAGGUGUUGCAGUGUUUCGCUGACAGUAAUGCGCAUAAAACUACUUUCAAAUCCUUUCUUCUAUACACUGUUCCAGUUUUGCUUAUGUUUAGUGAUACCUUUAUUCUCUUUUUUAUGUUGCAGGAGUAUUUUCUUUGGGACGCAGGCUAAACAAAGCAUUGGCCGAUAUGAAUGCAGAAUAAAAGAACACACUUUGGAUAGAAAUCGAGUGAGAACAUUCCGCAGCUACUAACCACAGGAGAUUCAAAUGGAGCGGUCCAGUCGCUAAACUUCCAAUGUGUCAAGACAACUGAGGAUUCUGGGAAAUGCAGUGCAGAGACUCCUGUUCGUUGAUUGCCCCCCCCCAUGCAUAUUUAGGCACAUUGGGAGAGGGGGACCUGUGGGCCCCGGGCGCACAGCAGGGAUCGGUUGUGGGACAGCGGGACCUAGAACCGAUCCCUCCUGGGCGCUCCGGGGCCCGCAGGUCCCCCUCUCCCAAUGUGCCUAAGUUUCCGUGCUCAGGGGAGGGGGUUGGGUGGCCAACGGGUUGCCUGGGGGGUGGGGCCCAGCACCCCCCAAUCUGACCCUAUCCCCACAUACACCCAUGGAAACCCCUGAAACCCCCAAACAUUGGUGCCUGUUCCCAUCUAAUAAGGAGCCUGUGGAACUGCAGCAAUAACUCACAGUCGGAUUGUUCCGUAUAAGCAAACGCUCUUCCGAGCCAACGAAAGAUAAGGUUCCCCAAAUCUAAUUUGAUCUAGAAAUUCACUUUAAAGCAAGUGUCCUGUUAUUCGUUAUCGGCACGUCUCAUUGGCCGGGGACUUGGCCAAUACCCAGAUAUUACAGUAGUUUCCUGCGCAUUGACUUUGUUAUAUUAAAUGGGGUUUUUUUGCAGCUCC